rnacentral:rRNA from 1 species
UCUGGCUCAGGACGAACGCUGGCGGCGUGCUUAACACAUGCAAGUCGAACGGAAAGGCCUCUUCGGAGGUACUCGAGUGGCGAACGGGUGAGUAACACGUGGGCAAUCUGCCCUGCACUUCGGGAUAAGCCUGGGAAACUGGGUCUAAUACCGGAUAGGACCUCAAGACGCAUGUCUUCUGGUGGAAAGCUUUUGCGGUGUGGGAUGGGC